CAACUUUUGAAGAUUCUUUUAGUUCAGACUCCCUUGCUGGUGCUGAGACUACUUCUGGGUCUGAUGACACUGUGAUAUUGACCAGAAGUCCAAGUGAAGAAAAACGAAUGGAGGAACGUUGUCAUGCCCAAAUGGUCGAAAACAUCUUAAAAGGAAGCCCAGGAGGCGACAAGAUCAUGAAUGAAUAUGCUCGAACGAAGUGUUUAUCAGAUAGCAGAAGACGUGACAUGGUGA